rnacentral:snRNA from 1 species
GUGCUUGCUUCAGCAACACAUAUACUAAAAUUGGAAUAAUACAGAGAAGAUUAGCAUGUCCCUGUGCAAGGAUGAUACAAAAAUUUGUGAAGCAUUCCAUAUAAAA